GCGGCGAAUGCCGGUGGACCUACUAGCUUCAUAAGCUCCGGGUCGCGGGUUCGAGUCCCGCCGCCACCGCAUCUAUGGUGGCGUAGCUCAGCGGUAGAGCAGGACGGUUCACCUACUUUGUCGCCGCAGC
rnacentral:Y_RNA from 1 species